UAUUUGAAGAUUAGCAUUUUAUUUUUUUAUAACUUGCUGGUUGAAGAAAACAAAAUCAUAGUGUUUGUAUUUUCAACAUUAUUGUUUUCUCUUUUACAUUAAAAACAAUUUCAUAAAAAGUACAUUAUAACAUUAUUUAGGUUGAUAAAUCUUUGUAAAGUGUGCUAUUAUGUCUGAAUGGUGUCGUGUAAAGUGGCUUGAAGAAGAAAAAGUUUACUCUGACACUGUUCCUUUAAGUUGGAUUAAUGGUAAAGUUUUGAGAUGGCGAAAAAAAGGAGCUGAAAAAAAAUUAAGGGACCAGGUUGAACCUCGUGAUGAUUGGUUUAAAUUUCAAGUUCUCAAAAUUAAAUUAACUGAUAAAGAUUUUAUGACUUGCUAUUCAUAUAAUAUUACAACUGAUACUGACUCUUGUGGUUUUGAUUUUAAAAAAGAUGUCUCAAGUUGCAAAAAAAAGUAAAAAUUUGCAGUACACUAUCUCCAAAGCCUGAAAUCAAAUUAGGUUUUAGAAAUAAAAAAGCAUUUACCCCAGAAUUAGAAAAAGAACCUAAAUCUUUCACAAGAAGCAAGUCAGAAUAAAGUAAAUAUUGAUUUGAAUCAACCUACUCAGUCAGUAUUUAGUUUUUGAAGUUCAUCAAAAUCCCAUAAUUUAAGAAAAUCGCGCUUUCGAUCUUCCAGUAGUUCUUGUUCACUCUCUCCUCAGAGUAAAAGUAAAAGAAGACCAGAUUAUUGUUUUCUUUUACAAUCAGAGAAAAUUGAAACACAAAGUGAACUCUCUUGUGGAUUACCAAAAAGUAAAGAACAUUCUACUCUGGCUAUUAACAGAAAUAACUUCCAAUGAGUGAUCAAAAUUUCCAGUAUGAAGUCAUGUUUACAAUGUCAACCCAAAAGUAGAUUGUCACAUAAUUUAAGUGCGGAAAUUCCAACUUAAUUCUUGACAGUAGAAGAUUUGAAUGAAUUUGAACUUAAAAUGCAUGAUAAUAGUUUUACACAAGAAUUUGUUAAACAACUCUCACGUGUUGGUGGAAAACCAUCUAAAUAUAUGGUUAAGGACCUAAUAUAAAGAUUGAUGUCAAAUGAUCUUCAGAAAAAAUUCAGCAUGAUUGGUUUAAAAGGAAAGCUUAAGUUUGAAAAAACUUUGUUGUAUAAUGUAAUAAAUAAAGCAGUAUUAAAUGUCUUUCCGGAUGCUACCAGCUCAGAAGUACGAAUAGAAGUGAUGAACCAUUUAAAAUAUGCUGCAGAUUGUAAAAACCGGAAAACACUUCGGACAAGCGCCAGAAAUGAUGUCAUGUCUAUCAGUUCGAAUUUUGCAGAAGAAGCCAGUAAAACAUAAUUUUUAUAUAAUUUUUUCACUAAGUGUUUUUUUUUUUUUUUUUUAUAUACUUCAAUAUAAUAAAGUCUUUAUUUUUCAACAUUUCUUUUGAA